GAGGAAAGAGGGAGGCGUGCCUAAUACAUGCAAGUCGAGCGAACGGACGAGAAGCUAGCUUCUCUGAUGUUAGCGGCGGACGGGUGAGUAACACGUGGAUAACCUACCUAUAAGACUGGGAUAACUUCGGGAAACCGUAGCUAAUACCGGAUAAUAUUUUGAACCGCAUGGUUCAAAAGUGAAAGACGGUCUUGCUGUCACUUAUAGAUGGAUCCGCGCUGCAUUAGCUAGUUGGUAAGGUAACGGCUUACCAAGGCAACGAUGCAUAGCCGACCUGAGAGGGUGAUCGGCCACACUGGAACUGAGACACGGUCCAGACUCCUACGGGAGGCAGCAGUAGGGAAUCUUCCGCAAUGGGCGAAAGCCUGACGGAGCAACGCCGCGUGAGUGAUGAAGGUCUUCGGAUCGUAAAACUCUGUUAUUAGGGAAGAACAUAUGUGUAAGUAACUGUGCACAUCUUGACGGUACCUAAUCAGAAAGCCACGGCUAACUACGUG
rnacentral:rRNA from 1 species